rnacentral:RNase_P_RNA from 1 species
UGAGUUGACCGAGCAAUCGCGCUUCAGGCUAGUCCUGAAUCGAGGAAAGUCCGGGCUCCAUAGGGUAGGACGCCAGAUAACGUCUGGGCAGCGCAAGCUGACGGCUAGUGCAGCAGAGAGAAGACCGCCUUAUUAUCUUCGGGUAGUGAGGUAAGGGUGAAAGGGUGCGGUAAGAGCGCACCGCACAACUGGUAACAGUUUGUGGCAAGGUAAACCCCGUCCGGAGCAAGAUCAAAUAGGGAUGCAAUAGGUGUGUACCCGCACUGCAUCCGGGUAGAUCGCUUGAGGUGUGCGGCGACGUAUCAUCCAGAUGAAUGAUUGUUCACGACAGAACCCGGCUUAUAGGUCAACUCACACU